rnacentral:lncRNA from 1 species
AUGGAUAGAGUUGUAGAAAGAGUCAAAGAAGAGCUAACUGAUGAGGAGAAUGCAAUUUUAAACAAUAUCGAUCAAAACAGUAACAAUGAAGAAAGUAAUGAAAAUAAUAGUAACAAUUUGAAAAUAAACAAACAACAAGAAAAAAAAUUUCAUGAGGACACUAUUAUAAAGCAGUCAAGUAAUACAAUCCGUAAUGAUCACAAUAACACAUUUGAUGAUGAAGAGAGUGAUAAUGUUGACAGUAUAUACACUGAUAUGACUCAAAAAGAGCAUUUAAAAAGUAUGGAAGAAAAUGUAAGCAAUAAAAAUAAAAGAAAACAAAUGUUUAUAAAUAACAACCAUGAAUAUGUAGAAAAAGGAAAUUUAGAAAAAGGAAAUGUAGAAAAAAGAAAUUUAGAAAAAAGAAAUGUAGAAAAAAGAAAUGUAGAAAAAAGAAAUGUAGAAAAAGGAAAUUUAGAAAAAGGAAAUGUAGAAAAAGGAAAUGUAGAAAAAAGAAAUGUAGAAAAAAGAAAUGUAGAAAAAAGAAAUGUAGAAUAUAGAAAUGUAGAAUAUAGAAAAUUUAAAAGAAACAAAGAAUAUAGCGAUGAAAUUAGAGAAGAUAAACAUAAUGACAAAAAAAAAAAAAAAAAAAAAAAAAGUUCUAAGGAUAUUAACAACUCAACUUCUUUACAUGAUAGUAGUAAUAAUAGUUAUAAAGAUAGUGAUAAAGAUAGUGAUAGUAGUAUUCAAAACAUUUCUGGGAGAAUAACAGAUCCAUUAUCUUUUAUCGAAAAUGACAAUGACGAAAUAAAUAAUAUACAUACAAGUGAUGAUAUAGAAUAUCCAUGUAUAUAUACAAAAAACACAAAAGAAUGGUUUAAAACUAUUGAAAAUGAAGAUUGGUAUAUUAACAAAUUAUGUAAUUGGUUAUAUAAUAUUAAGGACGAUAUUUAUUUUCAUAUUAGUAGUCAAAAUAUUUUUUAUGAAAAAAAUGGAACUUUUAUAUCGUUUGAUAAUUGUUUAAUAGAAGAUGAUGACACUAAUGUUAAUAAUAUAACAAAAGAAAAAGAUUUAAUUUUUUCUGAAAGUAAUGAUAAUAAUAAUAAUAAUAAUAAUAAUAAUAAUAAUAAUAAUAAUAAUNNNNNNNNNNAAUAA